rnacentral:lncRNA from 1 species
CUAUUUUAUCUUGUUUUGUUUUUCAAAAAGAAAGCAGAACUCCCUUUGGAGCAAGGCUGUAUUGUGCAGAGCCUCAACCACUUCCAGCCAGAGUGAGACAUUCUGAAGCUAAAAACAGGAGCUAACAGAAAACUGAUAAAACAGAGAAGAAAUAGACCCAGAUAUUUUAUAUGAUUGCACUGUCAGAUAAGACCUUAGAAUAUCAAGAUUAAUAAACUAAAAAAGGAGAAAGUGAUGCAGAAACAUUUGAAAAGAUGAAGAAUUUCAAGUGGAAUCAUAAUCUAUAAAAAGAAUCAAAUUGGACAUUCUAGAACUGAGAAAAGUAGGUUCUGGAAUUAAUGAUUCACCAGGUAUGUCUAACAGAAGACUGGACAAAGCUGAACACAGGCCCAUGAACCAGGAGGCAGGUCAACAUCGUGAAUCUAGAUGGAAGCACAAGAGGAACGAGGAUGGAAAGCAUGGCAGGGUGCUUGAGUGCCCUGGUGAGUCCCAGGGGCUGACAUGGUGGGUCCCAGAGGAGGUGGGGGAGUCAGACAAACAUUUGAAGGGAUGAAGGCCAUGCAUCUUCCAGAGUAUCAAUAGUCAUCUGUACCCAGAUUCAUGAAACAGCCUUCUCUGCACAGAACAAAGAAGCACACAAACAAGCAAAACAGAUCUCUCACAUUUGAACAUAAAAUGGUUUGACUCUUGGAAGCUAAAGUCAAAGAGAACAUCUUUUAAAAGCAGCCAGCUUUUAGAAUGGCCCAUUGCUGUUUCAAGAGCCACAGUCUGCCUGGCACCGUCUGUGCACGCAUACACUUCCCAGGGGAUGCGUCUGCAAGUGGAAUUGCUGUGUCAUUUGUUAUGCGCAUCUUUAACUUUGUUGGCUGAUAACAUUUUUUUUUUCUUUCAUAGUUGGAGCUCCAAGCAGCAAAAUAUAGACUUCUCUUUCAUUAUGCCUGUAUCUGUAACCAUUUUCCUCCACAAUUUGGCUUCAAAAGCAAUGCCAAGCCAGGUACAGUAGCAUGUGCCUGUAAUCCUAGCGACUCAGGAGGCUGCAGCAGGAGGAUUGCAAGUUCCACGCCAGCCUAGGCAACUUUUAGUGAGGCCCCGUCUCAAAUAAGAAAUAAAAAGUGUUGGAGAUGCAGCUCACUGGUAAAGUAGCCCUGGUUUAACUCUGAGUAUUAGGGGAGGGGGAAAGGUAUACCAAAUUUUGGACAGCAAUAUCUUUCCCCACUCAAGAUAGUGAUGUUAAUAAAAU